AUUGAACGCUGGCGGCAUGCCUUACACAUGCAAGUCGAACGGUAACAGGUCUUCGGAUGCUGACGAGUGGCGAACGGGUGAGUAAUACAUCGGAACGUGCCCGAUCGUGGGGGAUAACGAAGCGAAAGCUUUGCUAAUACCGCAUAAGAUCUACGGAUGAAAGCAGGGGACCGCAAGGCCUUGCGCGAACGGGGCGGCCGAUGGCAGAUUAGGAAGUUGGUGGGAUAAAAGCUUACCAAGCCGACGAUCUGUAGCUGGUCUGAGAGGACGACCAGCCACACUGGGACUGAGACACGGCCCAGACUCCUACGGGAGGCAGCAGUGGGGAAUUUUGGACAAUGGGCGAAAGCCUGAUCCAGCCAUGCCGCGUGCAGGAUGAAGGCCUUCGGGUUGUAAACUUCUUUUGUACGGAACGAAAAGACUCUUUCUAAUAAAGAGGGUCCAUGACGGUACCGUAAGAAUAAGCACCGGCUAACUACGUGCCAGCCGCCGCGGUAA
rnacentral:rRNA from 1 species